rfam:Salmo salar isolate Sally breed double haploid chromosome ssa04, whole genome shotgun sequence.
UGCAUUCACUACUGUAAGUCGCUCUGGAAAAGAGUGUCUGCUAAAUGACUAAAA